GAUUGUACCAUUGUACUCCAACCUGGGCAACAAGAGCGAAACUCCAUCUUAAAAAUAAAAUAAAUCUCUUUUCUGCUUAACUAGAGUCUGCUUCUUUUACUUGCAUCCAAGAAUCUUGACUGAUACAUUGUGCAUUUUGUUGGAGAACAUCUUCAAGUAACUUCUUAAGAAAGUCAUGCCGUCUGAAGCUGUGAUAACCAUCUUUUGAUCAUGAGGGGAUGAGCACAAGGAUGAAGACAACCCAAUUUCUUGAUGGCAUCAUUGAGCAGCUGAAUACAUGCCACACUUCCUGUUAACUGAAAAAAUAAAUAAAUAAAUAAAGCUGUAUGUUUUUAAGUCAC